rnacentral:rRNA from 1 species
ACCCCUGAUCAAAUCACCCAGAAAGCACCGGGUCUCAUCAGAUUUCGGAAGCUAAGCAAGAUUGAGCCUUGGUAGUACUUGGAUAAGUGGCCAGCAUGCAUAACAGGCGUUAUAGAUG